rnacentral:rRNA from 1 species
AACGAACGCUGGCGGCAGGCUUAACACAUGCAAGUCGAACGCCCCGCAAGGGGAGUGGCAGACGGGUGAGUAACGCGUGGGAACAUACCCUUUCCUGCGGAAUAGCUCUGGGAAACUGGAAUUAAUACCGCAUACGCCCUACGGGGGAAAGAUUUAUCGGGGAAGGAUUGGCCCGCGUUGGAUUAGCUAGUUGGUGGGGUAAAGGCCUACCAAGGCGACGAUCCAUAGCUGGUCUGAGAGGAUGAUCAGCCACAUUGGGACUGAGACACGGCCCAAACUCCUACGGGAGGCAGCAGUGGGGAAUAUUGGACAAUGGGCGCAAGCCUGAUCCAGCCAUGCCGCGUGAGUGAUGAAGGCCUUAGGGUUGUAAAGCUCUUUCACCGGAGAAGAUAAUGACGGUAUCCGGAGAAGAAGCCCCGGCUAACUUCGUGCCAGCAGCCGCAGUAACAC